AUUGGACAGUGGAGUAACUGCAACUUACGGUAAUGUAACAAAGUUAUUGGCUGACACCAAACUUCAAAACACAAAAUUGGAAGCUGCGUUUGUUUGGAACAUGAAGCUUUGAUAUUAAAAAGCAAAGCUCCUUAGUAGUUUAGAACAAAAGUGUGUAAAAAACGUUCGUGAUAAACGUGUAAAAUUGAAUACGGCUAUGAUAUUGCCAAUUUGAUGAGAGGCCAUGUAAACUUCAAGAAGCUUGUCUGAAGGCUAGAUUAUAAGAGUCAAUUCUCUGGGAUUACUAAGUACACAUCCUGGUUCUGGUUACUUAGCAACCAACUGACACCUGCUGACACCUGUCGGUCGGAGCAGAAAAUGCAGAAGUCAUCAUGAACACGCGACAUGUGGCAUUUCCGUGUUGAUGUCAGAUGUUCUGUAUCGUUACAACUACAGCUAAUGUCUAAUUACUGCUCAACUAAAGGUGUAUUUAUCCAAUCAUGCGCAAAGUUUGCCCCGCAUCGCGAAUGAACAUGGCAUUUUAUAAAAUCUAGUUACUUAGUAAGAUGGUAUGUAUGUCUUGUAAACCUGUUGAGGGCCAUACUCUCCAAGCAGAGGAGAAUUGUGGCUUUUUUUUCCUUUUUUCCGCUCUCCUCAAGAUCGCUAUGGAGGGUGAACAAAAAGGCACAAACGUGAGAAGGUCACAACCCCCAACAACCUCUGCUUGGAGAGUAGAGGGCACAGGGCACCGGACGACGUGCUGCUUUCAGUCAGAACUAUGGCGCCGAAGAAGAAGAAGCCUAAGAAGCCGAGUCGGACGGGGAGCCUCCUCGGAAGAAAUCGGCGCCUCCGAUGUGCUGUCCCGAAGUCUAUCUCACUCGGCCACCGCAACCGAAGGUGAAGAAGCCUGGACAACUGAACGACGAUCAACUCCGACAGUUUUUCGAGGAGGGUUUUGUCCUAGUGAAAGACUUCUUGAAGCCAGAAGAACUCCAGCCCGUACAGGAUGACAUAGAGCGCCUUGUGGACGACCUGGCCGAGCGGCUGUUCAAAGCGGGCAAAAUCAAAGAUAAGCACAAAGAUGCCGGUUUGUUUAAACGACUGACACUACUCGAAAAAGAAUUUCCCGGAACUGCCGUCAUCUUACACAAGACUGGGAAACUGCCGAAGGGUUUCCGAGAUCUUUGGUCCAAUGAACGCCUUCUUAAUGUGAUGGAACAACUGGUCGGGCCUGAGGUCGCAGGAAACCCCGUCUGGAACCUCCGGACCAAAACACCAUACAACGAACAAACUGAGGUCCCAUGGCAUCAAGACAACGCCUAUUUUGACGAAGAGGCGUUGGGCACGCUGAUCCCCACGGCCUGGAUCCCCUUGCUGGACGCUACCGUACAGAACGGGUGUAUGCAGAUGGUGCGGGGCGGGCACCGGAAGGGUGUUCUAGCCACGCACGUGUGCUGUACGGGCGGCACGUGGUACGUAGAGAUGGCCAAGGAAGAGAUGGAACAGACUCUCGGGUGUGACCUGACCAAAGACGUGGUGACGUGUGAGAUGACGUAUGGCAGUGUGCUCCUCUUCAACAACCUCACUCCACACAGGGGCCUCCCCAACAUUUCUACCGAUGUCCGCUGGAGUCUGGACCUGCGCUGGAUGGACCCCUGUAAGCCGGCCGGCCUGUGGGGCCUGAAGGACAGUCUGCCCAUGCGCUCCGCCAAGAACCCGGACCUGGCCAUAGACUGGGAUAAGUUUGAGGCGGUGGAUCGGAAUAAACAGCAACAAAAGAGUGUGGACAACGUAGCCGGAGCAGAGGACGAAUUUGACGCCACUAUCCAGGGGCCGUGGAUGACACGGUGGGAAAUCGUCCAUCACAACAAACACACUCGCUCAAUGGUCAACCCUGGAAAGUAGGGCACAACUAGCUAUAGGGACAUGACAAUAGUCAGCAACAAGACGUCAAGUGCAAGUGGCCCAUAUUGUCGUAGGUUCAGGCCAAUAGAAGGUUUUUCAGCACCAAGGCGAACAUAUUUUAUCAUUUGGAUCAAUACUGUAUAACAUUAUACAUUUGGUUUAUGCAUAAGUAAAAUUUUAUACAUGUACUUUACACAGUUAAAAGGACUGUAUAAUCAAUCUGAAACUAUGAAGUGGUUGUACUGUUAACGUGCCCUUGUGAAUUCUGUGAGCAGAUAAGAAUCUCAUGUAACGUUACAACGAUUGCAACAAUAUAACGUUACAUUUAUUAGCGUUAACGUUAUCAUGCAUCGUUUCAUUGUCAAACGCCCCUGAUAUAAACCAUAACGUGUACAUUUACUACACGAACCACGCUCUGAUUAUGUAGCAAGUAACUUUAACUAACGUUUCUUUGCAUUGUUAGAUUUAACAACGAUACCACUGUUGCCUUUAUUUGGUAUAACCAGAGCAAACAUCAAAGUAGAUUUUCAAUAAAAAAAGGAUUAGUUAAAACUCGGGGUCUUUUCUUAUUGCGUCGAAUUAAUUCAGUAACUCUAGAUUGUGACACGACAACAACACAGAAUUUCUACUAUUGCUAGAACUAUUAAAGAUAGAUUUACAUUCUGCAUUGUCGUUGUCUUUUGCAACACCCCCUACUGACCUGGUGGAAUGGGCCAAUUGUUAAGUAACCAUGCUUGUGAUUGGUCAAUACUAAGCGGCGAUGUAAGCCCUCGCGUGAUUGGCCUACUGUAGACAAACUAUCUUGUCUCUCAUUGGUUGCCACAGUGUUUCCAUAGUGACAAGGGAAGCACAAGUUCUGUUGUUUUGUUGACAAGGUCAAGUUGCCCUGGUCAUUCUACGCUUGGAUUUCGCAGCGAGAAGAUGUCAGAAGUUUACUGUGAGACUAAACAAGCGUCAGGAAGCUUUCAUCCGAUGUCAGAGAUGCAUCAAGUGUCCUAUUUGACCUUGGACGGCAAGUACCACGUCUGUGGACAGGAUGCUGUGUACUACACAGAUGAUAACGGUACAGAACGGUUUGUAGAGGGCGGGACAGUGGACCUGUGCCUGACAGAAGACGAGUGGGGUUGCGUCAUGCCGAUAGACGAUGGGUACGGGCCGGAUUUCAUCUUGAAGAAAUAUCUCGAAUGCCCCUGUGAAUAUUAUGAAGAGAUAGAACAAGAUGUUCAAGAAUGUGAGGAGACAAUGUGCGUCCAAGAUCACGACGACAUAGAGGCGGGAAAGUGGAAUUUCCCAUGGUUUAGUGCUUGGAGCGUUGAAGAGUUCCUGGAUGAGAUGGAAAAUCUCCAGAAACCAAAGGAGGUAAACAACAUUGACAGCAUCAAGGCAACCAGCCACACGUCUCAGAAUGACGGAGAAGUGUCCAAGAAGUUUGAGAAGGAUCAGCCCCACAACCAACCACAUGUGGAGAGUCAGAGGAUGUGGGAAGACGGCAUGACUAUCUACAUGUCGGAGAGUGAUCUGGAUGAACAGCUUCUGGGACAUGCAGAGGGUACAUUGAGUCAGAACUUGUGGGAAGAUGGCAUGUCCAUCUACAUGUUGGAGAGUGAUCU